CAAGUCAUGCCACUGCAUUCCAGCCUGGGUGCCAGAUUGACACUCUGUCGCAAAAAGAAAAGCCAGGUAGGCAACAUCCAAGGGAUGUUUUCCAAGUUCCCGUUUCAUCAUUGACUCUUGACAGGUGGAGGCACCUGGAAGAUGACAAAAGUAGGGAGGAGGAGGACCUGGAGGAGGACGCUUGUGUCUCCUAGGGGAUGAGGAAGGUCCACAGAGGAGAAAGAGAAUCAGCUACAGCCACCAAGGCAGGAACCAAGAACCUCUUCAGAAGAUGACUGGAAUAAAGAAGACAAGUCCGACAUGGAACAUGGAGCAGUCAUGCGCGCUGAUGAUCAAAAGUCGUUUCUGGACAACACAAGUGAACAAGCCUAUUUAAGAUAAAUUCUCCUACACGUCCUUGUACCUACUCCUUGCCCUCUGCCUCAAGGUCAGAGAACAGCUGCGUUCAGCUUAUUCUCCCCUGAAGCCUUCCGACCUUUCAGAAGGCCUGCUCCUUUCCCAACAGUUUCUCCCACCACUCUGACCGAUUACCUAUACAUCUACAUUUCAUCAGCUGAAAUAUCACACAUCAUGUAGCUUCUGGAAAGUCCUCUGUACAUUCACGAGAGUUGGAAAGUAAAAAAAAAGGUAAAAACUUCAAGUGUUUUUAUAAUCAGUUGUGUUGCAGAAUCUCAUGCAAUCUUAGAAAAGUUUAAAAAAACCAUGUGCGUUAGACAACAGGAUGGGAGAUGAACGCUGUGAACAUGAACAUUCUGGUUUACUGUUGUGUAGAAGAUGGAAUUCAUACUGCAGCUGUAUUUGGUGAGCCCGAUAAGUGGAGCAAGCCUGUGGGAGAAAUAGCCUUAUCAGGGGUUUUACAUACUGUUUUUCUAAUUCUUAACAACAGUCAUAAAAGGUAUAUAUAAUUUUUCCCCAUGAGGAAAACAGGCUUGUGGUUAAUAAGUACAUUUCCCUAGGUCCCAUGACUCGUAAGUGUUGGAGCUAAAGUUCAACCUCAAGUCUGACUUCAAAGCUCACGUUCUUCAGUAAACCACAAUUAUGGCUUAACUCACUGGAAAUGUAGAAAAGGACCCAAUGUAUGUAUGUGAAAGAGCUUUCUAAAAAACCAACAUGUGGUGGCUCAUGCCUGUAAUCGCAGCACUUUGGGAGGCUGGUGCAGGCGGAUUGCCUGAGGCCAGGAGUUCAAGACCAGCCUGGUCAACAUGCUGAAACCCCAUCUCUACUAAAAAUACAAAAAUUAGCCAGGCGUGGUGGCGGGCGCCUGUAAUCCCAGCUACUCAGGAGGCUGCAGCAGGAGAAUCGCUUGGACCUAGGACGGGGAGGUUGCAGUGAGCCGAGAUUGCACCACUACACUCCAGCCUGAGCAACAGAGUGAGACACAGUUAUCUCAAAAAAAAAAUAAUAAUUAAAAAAAUAAAAAAGCGACAUUCAAGUAACAGUGACUGUACUGAUUACUGAUAUCCAUAGGAUUGUGACUUGACUAUCCAUUUGGAUAAUGAAAUUUUAUCCCUCCAAAAGGUAAAUAUAAACUUUGAAGAGUUUGUAUUUGAAAUGUGGUCUUCGCUUGAUGUGUCCAAAUUCAGUGGAAAAAAAAAGUCACUCAACUCUGAUAAUGUUUUGCAUUCAUCCAUUUGCACAGUACAGUUAUAUUCAAUAUAGAAAAUAUGGAAAUGUUUUUAUUUUACUUAUUUUUAAAAAUAGGUGAUAUAAUUUACAUGAUACAAAACUUGGGUGACAGAUGUGUAUUACAGUGAAAGUUACCUGUGCCACCCAAUCCUCCCUCCAACACCCCCACUCUGCCCAGCGCUGUCUAGCCAGUUUCCCUCCCUAGAUACAACCACUAUAACCAGUUAUUUGUAUAUAUUUCCAGAGAUAUUCUAAAGCAAAGUUUUAAAAAGAAAUAUGAAAUUUCCUUAUUAAGACAACUAGUGAGAGAUUCUUGAUUUGUCCUUUCCUGUUUUAUUUAUACACUGAUAAAAUCUGACAAAAGAGGCGCAAAGGUAGAACAUAACCAAGAAUUAUCAGUGAUCUGCCAGAAGCAGGAGUAAUUCCCACCAACCCAAACAUAAGGCUGGCGAUAAGGAAGGCCAGUGAGGCCAGGCAGAAGACAGCAAGCAGAGGUUAUCUCAAGGUAGGGGAUAGAUGAUUUUUAUUUUUCUCCUUCAGUGUAGAAUUAUAGUGCUCACCCACAUGCCUGCUUCAUCUCUGCUUCUGCCCAUGGAGGAUUUUUGUUCUUUGAUCCCUACAGUUAAUGGUCUACCAGGCCAAAACAUUUUAUUGCAGAUGAGUUGCCCUUCAUUGUUGUCUUCCCCAUCAUGGGCUGGGGAGGCGGGGAGGCAAUGCAUUCCAGAUGGUACAUUACAAGAUGGUGGAGCCUCUGUCAACCUGGGUCCUUGAGUGACCAUGUGAAGCAAAGCCCCUGGCGAUUCACAAUGGGUGUAUAGUAUGAGCAAGAAAUAAACCUUUGUUGCAUUAAGUCAA